CAGUUGUUGAUCAAUUGACCAAAAGAAUAUGUAGGUGAAUGAUAUAUGGAUGAAUUAUGUUGUUGGGGUUUCCGACUUUAUCCUAUCCACUAUCAUGUAUUUACGAAUUCAACUCCUUCAUUAAUGUCAAUGCCACUUUCUAAUUUACCCUAAACCCGAUGUCUCGGUGAAGAGAGCUUACUCUUAAUUACUAGUUUACAAUGUCUUGUCUCCCUAGUAAUUAAUUAUGCAUUACAUUCGCAGAGAAGCUUAAAGGCAAUC
rnacentral:lncRNA from 1 species